CGAUUCCAGAAGCGGUUUCUGGCGAUCCCGUGACCGUGUGUGCGUAAAACCAGGAAGACCCAUCAAACCGGUGCAACCCGAGACCAACAAAGGAAGAAAACCCGAUUUUUCUGGCAACUUCAUGACUUGAUUUUCCGGUAGAAGCUCGACCCUGACGCUAAUGGCAAGUCCAGAUGACAACAGUAAGACGAAGUCUUUUCCUUGUAAGGGCGUAGACCUCGCUGAAAGCGAUAGUUCGUGAUGAACCGGCCAAACCCUAGUAUUAUAUAGUAUGUUUUGUUCUUUUUGGAGUUCAUGAUCUUGUAAAGAAUUAUUAAUAGAAAGGUUUAAUAAAAUAGGAGAUUUAAAUUUAUAUGUUGUAAAUG